rnacentral:misc_RNA from 1 species
UGACCAUAACUAUUCAAGCGAAGCUGUAAAACUCUAACAUGGUUAGUAUAAUCAGAUAUAAUAGCUUCCAUGAAGUCAUUAAUCUACUUAAAACACAUGCACAUGGAUGAGUUCACAUAAAGGCUCUAAGAAGUACACACAAGUACUUACUGAAAGUAUAAAUCAAUAAAAAGAUUAACGUAUGAAUAUCUCAAAAGAAACAUCAAGAGAAGCCAUAAAAGAACUAUGAUGCCUUAAAUGCCA